GAUGAACGCUGGCGGCGUGCCUAAUACAUGCAAGUCGAGCGAACAGACGAGGAGCUUGCUCCUCUGACGUUAGCGGCGGACGGGUGAGUAACACGUGGAUAACCUACCUAUAAGACUGGGAUAACUUCGGGAAACCGGAGCUAAUACCGGAUAAUAUAUUGAACCGCAUGGCUCAAUAGUGAAAGACGGUUUUGCUGUCACUUAUAGAUGGAUCCGCGCCGCAUUAGCUAGUUGGUAAGGUAACAGCUUACCAAGGCAACGAUGCGUAGCCGACCUGAGAGGGUGAUCGGCCACACUGGAACUGAGACACGGUCCAGACUCCUACGGGAGGCAGCAGUAGGGAAUCUUCCGCAAUGGGCGAAAGCCUGACGGAGCAACGCCGCGUGAGUGAUGAAGGUCUUCGGAUCGUAAAACUCUGUUAUUAGGGAAGAACAAAUGUGUAAGUAACUAUGCACGUCUUGACGGUACCUAAUCAGAAAGCCACGGCUAACUACGUG
rnacentral:rRNA from 1 species